rnacentral:lncRNA from 1 species
ACUUGAUCUGCCACCUCAAUUAAUGAGGGAGAUCAAGUGGUCCACGUUUUUUGCUAUUUUCUGAUUUUCAUUUUAAUCCUUUUAUUUUCAUUAAUUCAUAUUAAUUUUAAUAUUGAUCAUCUUGUUGUUGGGCAUUGGUCAAGGUUGAUUUGACUUUGUCAAGUUAAUAUCAUUGGAUUUAGGGGAUUGAUGGAAUGUACAUUCCAUCUCCCAAAAUGAAUGGAUGAUAUUAAUUUGGUAAAAGUCUUCCUUUGACGAAUUUGAGUUUUGAUCCAUUCCCCUCCCUCUUCAUCUCAUUCCUAUUCUUUAUGCAUUCAUCUCAUUUGGCCUAUGAUAUCUCGAAGUCCUAAGGCUAGUUGAUUGAAAACUCAACAUAAGUAUGGAUGAGAUUAGGCCACCUCUUUUGAAUAUUCUUUUUGUGUGUGGUAUGUUUCAUGAGCAUAAUCCAUUAUACUAUGUCUCUAACAUACAUUAACACCAAAAUUCUAUUGCCCGACCUCAAAUAGUUGUGACUUCUACAUAAGUCCAAUUACGAUUGCUUAACAUAGCGCUAAAUUUGUGACACAAAAGGCAAAGCAUUCUAGUUAGUGAGAUUGUAAGUCUCCCCUCUUUCAUGGUAUUGUAUGGAAACUUGGCCUUUUUUCCUUCCUUUGGAAGAUGUCUUGGUUCAAGGAUCCAUGCUUGUGAUAAGUGGGUUGACUGUUCUCCAAAGAAUGACUUUAAAUGAAAAGCAAAAGCAAAUCAAUACUAAUUUCUAACUCAUUAACAACUAACUUUUAAUUUCAAGCCAUUUACUUUAAUGUCAUUUUAUUUUAGUCUUUAUUCAUUUGCCAUUAUUCAAACCAUUCUAAUUGUUUAUGUUAAUGGAAUUUUCACUUUGUCCACUUGGACCAUAUUGUGUGAUAUAUCUUGUUUGUGUAUACUUUACUUGUUUGUGUGGUCUUUGACCAUUAAUGUACAUAAUAACAACAAAAACCCUAAAAAACUUUUGUGUGGACUGUUGGCUUGAUCUAGUAUACUUUACUUGUUUGUGUGGUCUUUGACCAUUAAUGUACAUAAUAACAACAAAAACCCUAAAAAACUUUUGUGUGGACUGUUGGCUUGAUCUUGGACAAAUGGACUUAGAAUUUAGGCAACAUUUCUAGGCUAAAGGACUUGGCCAAUGCCAACUUUCUAUGAAACCAAGUGAUUGCAAUCUGAAACUUCAUCUGAUACAUCAUUCAAGAUUCCUUUGAGUUCAUCUGCAACAUGAUCAUUGUGAAGCUGUUAUUUUAAACCUGUGACUUGUACAAUUCAUGGGCUAAUUUGAAGAAGAUCAUGGAGUGGCUAAGCUUGGAUGUGGCUAUCUUUAUUUGAUGCCUUGCUCUUCAAGAUUUAUGUAAUUGUGCAUUUGUGUGUUACUUGAUUCUAAAUGUCCAAGGGAAUUUGGGUUUAUAUUGACAUUCUUGUCUAUUGGAUUGCUACUCAUUGGUCAGAUCUUUUCAACUCUUUACUUUUAAUUUUGUGCAUAGGAUUAGUCUCUUCAUCUCCUCCCCAUUUCUUUAAUUUCAAAAUCUCUCCCUCAUUUUUAAAAUUUUCUUUGUUUGAACUAGUUUUGUUCUAAACUUUGACCACUUUGCAAAAAAAAAGAUAGAAACUUUGGCCUUAUGCCAUUGAAUUUUCAAACUUCCUUUUCUUAAUCAAACUUGUAAAUAGACUUAACUAUACUUGACCUAAACUUUCAAAAGCAAAAAAAAGAACUAACUCAUUCAAACCAUUUUCAGGCCUUGGUGCCUUUCAAACUUAAUUUUUGUUUAAAACAAUGCAUCCACUUUGAAAUUUGUAUCACGAACUACGAGGUUUUGAUCCCUCAUUUUUAUGUUGGUACGUAGGCACAAGUCCGAAGGUCUUGUCAAACACAAAAAAUAUAAUUAAUGAAUUCUUUUCUCAUCCCCCUACUCAAUUUGUUUGUAAACAUCAUUUUGUACCAAAUACAUAUGCACACAAAAAGGGCUCCCUAGGAGUACCUAGGAUACUUUGGGUGCUAACACCUUCCCUCUGUGUAACCAACCCCCUUACCUGAAAUCUCUGACAUUUUAUUGGUUUUGAUUUGAAAACUUCUUACUUUUGGGUUUUGUUCGUACUUUUUUCCCUUUUCCCUUGGAAACAAUAAAAGCGCGGUGGCGAUUCUGGUUUUAUUGAUCUCUAGCUUAUCCAUAGCUUGAUGAUCAUGAAUUUACCGCAAAAAAAAUUAAGUGGCGACUCCGUUGGGGAGUAGUCUCCAGUGGGUUUAGCCUACUUUUUGUGUGUAUAUAAUUGUAUAUAUGUGAUGUUUGUAUAUAUGUAUGUUUGAUAUAAUCUGCUUGUUGUGCUUGGUGAUCUCUGAGUGGUGAGAUAAGUUCUGACCCGAACUUGAGUGCAAUUAAGAUAGGAGGAUGGUAUAGUCAUGUUCGACUUGUGUGGAGUAGUCCUUAACAAGUUAGCUUGAGAUCCAUCUGCUCAGUGGAGACCCUUUUGGAUUUGGAAAUAUCACACAAGUAUUUGUGGUUAGGCAUUACUAUCUCUAAUUUGGGUCUGAGAAACUGAGGACCUUAGAACAUUUAACCCCUCUUGGCCUAUUUAGGACGUAGUGCAGAGACAGUUCAAGUGUAGACUUGAUAACAGUUGUUACGCGAUACUACACUCAGAUGAGUUUCUCUUGAGAAUAUUAUGGAUCGAUGAGUCAGUCAUCUUAACUUGUAAUAUCCGAUAGAUGGAAUUAAGACUCUGGGAACUUUUUAGAACAUGAUCUACAUGUUUUAUCCUUAGUUCACUCCUUUGGGAUGGUUCUUACCCAGACUCCAUGCUCGUGACUUACAACAAACCCUUGAUUCUUGGUUGAUCCAAUCAAGUCUUGUCAAUAUCAAUGGAACUUGGGUGUUGAUAAGGUGAAAACCAUAAUCCACCAAAAUGGAUGAUUGAUCUUGACAAUGACUUGAUUCAUCCCUUGACCUUUGUUUGCUUGCCUUGUGUGUGAUCCCUUAUUUAUGAUUGUUUCAUUCAUGCAUUCAUGCGCAUCAUAACAUUCAUCACACGAAAAUUUCAAGGAACUGAGGUAUUAUUUGCAAAUAUUUUCAGACCAUGGAUUAUGGACGAAGGAACACUAAGAAGUACAGUUUCAGAUGUCCCGACUUGAAAGAGUUACGGAAGCUAACAUCUUUUGUAUUAGAUCCCUUGGACUUCAAACAACGUCAUGGGAAGCUGCUGUCCAUCUUGUCUACUGAUGUGGUCGAAGGACUUUUGAGUUUGCUAGUGUAGUUCUAUGAUCCUCUCUACCGUUGUUUCACUUUCCCAGAUUUUCAGCUUAUGCCUACCUUGGAGGAGUAUUCUCAUCUUUUGGGGAUACCUGUUUCUAGUAGGGCACCUUUUAGUGGUUUGGAGGAGAUUCCCAGAUCUAAUCUUAUUACUGAAGCUCUUCACUUGAAGAAGUCUGAGAUAGAGGCUCAUUGGGUGAAGAAAGGAGGAUUGUUUGGGUUGCCAUCUGAUUUCCUCAUUGAGGAAGCUACUGCUUUUUCUCAAGCCGGUAGUAUGGACGCUUUUGAAGCUAUCUUUGUGUUGCUUAUUUAUGGAUUAGCUUUGUUCCCUAACAUUGACGGUUUUGUUGAUGUUAACGCCAUUAGACUUUUCUUGAUUGGGAAUCAUGUGCCUACUUUGUUGGGUGAUAUGUAUUUCUCUUUGCAUCUAAGGAAUUCUAAGGGUGGUGGAACGAUUGUCUGUUGUAUUCCUCUUUUGUACAAGUGGUUUAUUUCGCACUUGCCUCAGACGCUUGCUUUUAUGGAGAACAAACAAUGUCUAAGGUGGUCUCAGAGACUUAUGUCUCUCACUAAUGAUGAUAUAGUUUGGUAUGAUCCGUCUUUAAGCAGCUUAGAGAUUAUUGAUAGUUGUGGUGAAUUCUCUAAUGUACCUCUCAUUGGUACACAAGGAGGAAUUAACUACAACCCUGCUUUGGCUCGUCGUCAACUUGGGUUCCCCUUGAGAGACAAACCUAAUAACACUUUGUUAGAAGGUCUUUUUUAUCAAGAGGGUAAAGAUCCCCAAAAUUUGAAGCAGAAGAUUAUGCAUGCUUGGCAUAAUGUACAUAGGAAAGGAAGAUCCGAGCUUGGUCCAUGCAAUUGUGUAGCUUUGGAAGCUUACACUCUUUGGGUGAAGAAGAGAGCUUUGGAGUUGAAGAUGCCUUAUCCUUGUGAAAGACCUAUGUCUAUGGUUGUGUUUGAUCCAUUAACUCUCCCUAACCAAGAUGUAGAGGAGUUGGAAGACGCACUCGCCAAGAUGAAACAAGAAAAGGAUGUGUGGGAAGAGCAUUUCUAUGCCUUGAGAAAGAAGCAUGAGGAGUUGGAGUUGGAGUCUAAGGAAAAAUAUGCACUUAUUGAGUUACUUAAAGACCGAGUGACAAAGAGGCAGAGAGAGUCGGAGAUUUCAUCUUCCUCUAGCAUGCCUCAGCCUUCCGUUGCUUGGAAGAAGAAUCAGAUGAAGGCUUCUUUUGAGACCGAGAUUCGACGCAUCCGAAGGAAGUACGCGCCUGCAGCCAGAUCUUCUGACAUUGUUGUUAGGGAUCCUUAGGAUGACUAGACUCCUUUUCUUUUGGUUUCUGAAAUUGUACUCAGUGUAAUCCUUCCAAUUAUAUAAAUGAAAAGAGAUUUUUUAUGGUCAUAUCAAAUUGUUGCAAUUAUAUAUAUAUAUAUAUAUAUAACUCUUUGGGUGAAGAAGAGAGCUUUGGAGUUGAAGAUGCCUUAUCCUUGUGAAAGACCUAUGUCUAUGGUUGUGGUUGAGCCAUUAACUCUCCCUAACCAAGACGUAGAGGAGUUGGAAGACGCGCUAGCCAAGAUGAAGCAAGAGAAAGAUAUGUGGGAAGAGCGUUUUCGUGCUUUGAGCAAGAAGCAUGAAGAGUUGCAGUUGGAGUCUAAGGACAAAGAUGCACUUAUUGAGCUACUUGAAGAUCGAGUGACGAAGAGACAGAGAGAGCCGAAGGUUUCAUCUUCCUCUAGCAUGCCUCAGCCUUCCGUUGCUUGGAAGAAGAUUGUUGAUCAGCUUGUCCUCGAGAAGACUCAGAUGAAGGCUUCUUUUGAGACCGAGAUCCGUCGUAUUCGAAGGAAGUACGCACCUUCAGUUAGGUCUUCUGACAUUGUUGUUAAGGAUCCUUAGGAUGACUAGUCUCCUUUUCUCUUGUAUUUUUCAUUUGGUUUCUAAAAUUGUACUCAGUGUAAUCCUUCUAAUUAUAUAAAUGAAAAGAGAUUUUUGGUCAUAUAAAAAUUAUUGAAAUUGUUGAUAUAUAUAUAUUUGCAAAUGAUAUAGUAAGUUCCUUGAAAAAACAAAAAUAAAUAAACAAGCAUUGCAUUUCAUGCAUUAUGUGCGUAAGCAGGUUUCUCUUCCGCCAGAUGUCUCAUUGGUGUUUCUUCUAUGCUUCAGCCAAGCUGACUCAUCGGUACCAUACCCGUGCCAAUCAUCUCAAAAUCAUGGAGCAUCUAGAGCAAGAGAAUAGAGAGCGGAAGGACGAGAUCGCCCGCCUGACUGCCAUGAUGGAAUCAGUUCUUGCUGCCCAGAGUCAAUCUUCUCUAACACCUGCCACUCCUCCUCCUCAGAGGACUGUUAUUUCAGAGGUGGCUACCUCUACCAUGCCUGCUGCUACCGCUUAUUUUGCGCCCAUUAUACCUGCCGGAUUCCCGUGGGGAAUGCCAUCGAACUUUAUGCCUGAAGGCUUUGCGCCUACAUUUGCUUCCAUGCCGGCAUCUAGCACGGUCAUGUCUGUGCCACCUCCAUUGUGCACACCUUACCUCGUGUAGAGGACACCAUUUAUAACUCCGAGCCGUCUGAGGGUCCAGAUGUUUAUGAGAAAAUGGAUGAAAUGAAGGACCAGUUUCUUGAGGCUGCACAAGGAAUUGAAGACGCUAAGAGGUAAGGACUUGUUUGGAAAGAGUGCUGCUGAGUUGUGUUUAGUGCCCAACGUCAAGAUCCCGGUGAAGUUCAAAGUGCCUGACAUUGAAAAGUAUAAAGGGAACACAUGUCCACUCCGUCAUCUAGUGAUGUAUGCUCGCAAGAUGUCGACUCAGACUGACAAUGAUCAACUGUUGAUUCACUACUUCCAAGACAGUCUGACCGGUGCUGCGCUCUGAUGGUAUAUGGGGUUGGACAGUACAAGCGUUCGUACUUUCAAUGACUUGGGAGAGGCUUUUGUCAAGCAAUAUAAGUACAACAUGGACAUGGCUCCUGAUAGAGACCAGUUGAGGUCUAUGUCUCAGAAGGAUAAGGAGACAUUUAAAGCGUAUGUGCAGAGAUGAAGGGAAUUGACUGCCCAGAUCACUCCUCCUUUGGAGGAAAAAGAGAUGACAAAGAUCUUUCUGAAAACUAUGAGUUCAUUUAUCAUGAACGAAUGAUUUCUAGUGCCCCCAGUGACUUUACUGAAAUGGUAAACAUGGGGAUGAGGCUUGAGGAAGGAGUCCGAGAGGGACGUUUGUCGAAGAAGAAGCAUCAUCGAGUAAGAGAUAUAGCAGCAACUUUGGGAAGAAGAAGGACAAAGAAGCGAAUGCAAUAAGCAGUGGGAGGCAGAGGAGGCCUCAGAUCAGAAGGAAUCAACCAUCACAUCAACAUCACCAUCAAGUAUCUUCAGUCAUUCCAUUUUUUUUCUAAUAAUCAUUCAACACCAGUUCAACAACAACAACGUCAACAACAACAACAUCAACAACAACAACCGCAACAAUGAGCAAACACCUACAACAACAACAAUACCAACAACAAUCAUCAUCAAUAAAACUUUGAGAGGAAGAAGGUCUCUUUCGACCCAAUUCCUAUGUCUUAUGCAGAAUUGUAUCCAUCUUUGGUUCUCAAGAACCUAAUCCAACCAAGAAACCCGCCAAAAACUUUGAGAGGAAGAAGGUCUCUUUCGACCCAAUUCCUAUGUCUUAUGCAGAAUUGUAUCCAUCUUUGGUUCUCAAGAACCUAAUCCAACCAAGAAACCCGCCAUAAAUUCCAGAACCACUUCCAUGAUGGUACAAGCGUGAGCUCCGUUGUGAUUUUCAUCAAGGAGCACCCGGACAUGAUAUAGAGAACUGUUAUCCGCUCAAGUAUGAGGUUCAGAAGUUAAUGAAGAGUGGAAUGGUGUCCUUUGAGGACCGCACACCGAAUGUAAAAGUGAAUCCUUUACCCGCUCAUGGGAAUUCUUCUGUUAAUAUGGUGGAUGGUUGUCUUGGCGAAUUUAAGGUUUUUGAUAUUCGUUUUAUCCGAAGGUCCUUGGUGCAGAUGCAUAAGGAUAUUUGUUUGGUGAGUGAUUGUGAACAUGACCAUGACGGUUGUGUUAUCUGUAGUAUUAACCCGAGGGGUUGCGAAGUUGUGAAAAGGGACAUCCAGCGACUGAUGGAUGAAGGCAUGAUUCAAAUUGUUCAAUCUCGUCAUGUAGAUGAAGAUGUAAAUGUCAUAGUGCCCAUUUUCAACCAGAGAGAUUGGUAAUUCAGUACGACAUCAACAACAGUAACAAUAUCAGCAAUAGAUCAGUAUCCCCGUUGGUUAUACGGUUAACGGGCCCAAUCCCAUAUUCAUCUAAUAAAGUUGUGUCGUAUCAGUAUAAUGUUACAAUGAUAGAAGGUGGUCAAGAGGUCCCGCUACCUACGGCUAGCUCUGUGGUGAGCAUUGCUGAUGUUACCAAGGUGACCCGCAGUGGUCGCGUGUUUGGGUCGGUGUUCCCAAAGGAUAAAGAAGAAUCAGUUGUUGGAAAGAAGGUGGAAGUGCCUGUUGUAGAUCCAGUUGGUGCUUCAAAGGGUAAGUCUGGUGAAUCCAGCGAUUUGAAAGCUAACGAUGAUUAUGAGGUACUUCGAUUGAUCAAAAGAAGUGAGUUUAAUAUGGUGGAGCAGUUGCUCCAAACCCCCUCAAAAAUCUCAGUGUUGUCUCUGCUCAUGAAUUCUGAAGCGCACAAAGAAGUACUACAGAGAGUUCUUGAACAAGCAUUUGUGGAACAUGAUGUUACAGUGGAUCAAUUCGAUCAUAUCGUGGCUAACAUCACUUCCUGCAAUAAUCUUAGCUUCUGUGAUGAAGAACUCCCUGAGGAGGGUAGAAAUCAUAAUCUGGCUUUGCACAUUUCUAUGAAUUGCAAAGAGGACGCUUUGUCAAAUGUGCUUGUUGACACUGGGUCGUCACUGAACAUACUUCCAAAUUCAACUCUGUCAAAGCUAUCAGAUCAAGGAGCGCCUAUAAGGUAUAGUGGUGUAAUCCUUAAAGCUUUUGACGGUUCGCGCAAAACAGUAAUUGGUGAAGUGAACCUUCCAGUAAAGAUAGGUCCGAGUGAUUUUCAAAUUACUUUUCAAGUAAUGGAUAUCCACCUGGCCUAUAGCUACUUAUUGGGAAGGCCAUGGAUCCAUGAGGCAGGAGCUGUUACCUCCACAUUGCACUAGAAGCUCAAGUUUGUGAAGAAUGGAAAGCUUGUGAUCAUUGGCGGGGAGAAGGUGCUGUUGGUUAGCCACCUGUCAUCUUUCUCUUAUGUUGAAGCUGAGGAUGAGGUUGGAACUCCGUUCCAAGCCUUAUCUAUUGCUGCUGAAAAGAGAGUUAGGGCACCCAUGUCCUCAUUGAAAGAUGCCAAGAAGAUUAUGGAAGAAGGCGAUGUUGAUCAGUGGACGCGCAUGGUAGAGGUCUCUGACAACAAAGACAGAACCGGUUUAGGGUUCCAGAAAGGUUCAUCAAAUGCAAGGUCUGAAGAUAUGCAACUUAGCUUCCGUAGCGGAGGGUUCAUUCAUGGCAAUGAACAACACUUAGCUGCUGUGCUAGAGGAUGACGAAGAGGAAGACUGCACCAAUUUUGUGACGCAUGGAAAGGCUUGCAACAAUUGGACUGCUGUUGACACUUAGCUGCUGUGCUAGAGGAUGACGAAGAGGAAGACUGCACCAAUUUUGUGACGCAUGGAAAGGCUUGCAACAAUUGGACUGCUGUUGAUAUUCCUGUUAUUUUGCAUCAAUCUAAGUAAUUGCAUUUAUAUGUUUUCAAAAUCCUUCUCCUAUGCCUAAGGGAGAAGAGAACAUUGUUUGGGCAUUUUCAAAUUGAUCAUCAAUAAAACUAAUUCUAUUCAUCCACAUCUAUGAUAUUUUGUUUUACUUUUUGCGUUAUCCUAAAAAUGGUAAUCACAAAAGACUUAAAUAAACAAUAAUUGUCCAUCUGCAUAAUAUUUGGUCACAAAUCCACUUCUCUAAAAUCAAAGUAUCAAAUCAUUAUGCAGGUUGGUUCCUAACCCCAUUAAAUAUAAUGAUCCUUCUCCUUCUCCAAAUUUUGAAUUCCCUGUGUUCGAGGCCGAGGAGGAAAGUGAUGAGGAAGUGAGUGAUGAAUUAUCUCGUCUUCUUGAGCAAGAUGAAAAGAUCAUUCAGCCGUUUAAAGAGCAGAUUGAGCUAGUCAACUUAGGUUCCGAGGAUGAUGUGAAGGAAGUCAAGAUUGGGUCUCGCCUGUGUCCAAAUGUCAAGAAAGGGUUGAUUGAUCUUCUUCGAGAGUAUUCAGAUGUGUUUACUUGGUCCUAUCAAGACAUGUUUUCUUGGUCCUAUCAAGACAUGCCUGGUUUGGAUUCUGAGAUUGUGGAGCAUAGAUUGCCGUUGAAGCCAAAAUGCCCUCCAGUCAAGCAGAAAUUGAGAAGAACGCAUCCUGAUAUGGCUGUGAAGAUCAAAGAAGAAGUGCAAAAGCAGAUCGACGCCGGUUUCCUUGUGACCACUGAGUAUUCGCAAUGGGUGGCCAAUAUUGUGCAUGUGCUGAAGAAAGAUGGAAAAGUCCGCAUGUGUGUCGACUAUCGAGAUUUGAAUAAAGCCAGUCCGAAAGAUGAUUUCCCUCUGCCACACUUUGAUAUGUUGGUAGAAAAUCCUGCUAAAUUCAAAGUCUUUUCGUUUAUGGAUGGAUUUUCCAGAUAUAAUCAGAUCAAGAUGGCACUUGAAGAUAUGGAGAAGACCAUAUUCAUUACACCUUGGGGAACAUUCUGUUAUAGAGUGAUGCCUUUCGGUCUAAAGAAUACUGGUGCAACUUACCAAAGAGCAAUGACUACUAUUUUUCAUGAUAUGAUGCAUAAAGAGAUUGAAGUAUAUGUCAAUGACAUGAUUGCUAAAUCAAUUGAUGAAGAGGAACAUGUUGAGAAUUUGUUGAAGUUAUUCCAGCGUUUGAGGAAGUAUAAACUCCGUUUGAAUCCCAAUAAGUGUACUUUUGGUGUUCGUUCUGGUAAAUUAUUGGGCUUUAUUGUCAGCGAGAAGGGUAUUGAAGUUGAUCCUGCAAAGGUCAAAGCAAUACAAGAGAUGCUUGCGCCCAAAACUGAAAAGCAAGUCAGAGGUUUUCUCGGCCGCUUGAAUUAUAUUUCCAGAUUCAUUUCCCACAUGACUGCCACAUGUGCGCCUAUAUUCAAGCUUCUUCAGAAAGAUCAGUCUUGUGAUUGGACCGAAGACUAAGAGGUUUUCUCGGCCGCUUGAAUUAUAUUUCCAGAUUCAUUUCCCACAUGACUGCCACAUGUGCGCCUAUAUUCAAGCUUCUUCAGAAAGAUCAGUCUUGUGAUUGGACCGAAGACUGCCAGAAAGAUUUUGAUAGUAUUAAAGAGUACCCGCUUGAACCUCUGAUUUUGUCUCCGCCUAUUGAAGGAAAACCGUUGAUCAUGUAUUUGACUGUGCUUGAUGAGAGUCUGUGUUGUGUUCUUGGUCAGCAAGAUGAGACUGGAAAGAAAGAAUUUGCAGUUUACUACCUCAGUAAGAAGUUCACCGACUGUGAGACUCGGUAUUUUAUGCUUGAGAAAACUUGUUGUGCAUUGGCUUGGGCUGCUAAGCGUUUGCGUCAAUAUAUGUUGAAUUAUACCACUUGGUUGAUAUCCAAAAUGGAUCCGAUCAAGUAUAUAUUUGAAAAGCCUGCUUUAACUGGGAGGAUUGCCUGUUGGCAGAUGUUGUUAUCAAAGUAUGAUAUCGAAUACCGAUCUCAGAAAGCGAUCAAAGGUAGUAUCUUGGUUGACCAUUUGGCUCACCAGCCAAUUGAAGAUUACCAUUCAGGGCAGUACGUUUUUCCUGAUGAAGAGAUCUUGUACUUGAAAAUGAAAGAUUGUGAUGAACCAUUGCUUGAAGAAGGGCCAAAACAUGGUUCCCGUUGGGGAAUGGUAUUUGAUGGAGCUGUUAAUCAAUAUGGUAAUGGUAUUGGGGCAGUGAUCAUUACUCAUCAAGGCACACAUCUACCAUUUACAACUAGAUUGACUUUCAAGUGUACAAACAAUAUGGCAGAAUAUGAAGCUUGCAUUAUGGGGCUUGAAAAGGCCAUGAAUCUUAAAAUCAAGUAUUUAGAUGUUUUCGGAGACUCCGCUUUGGUUGUAAAUCAGAUCAAAGGUGAUUGGGAGACAAAUCAACCUGGUUUGGUACUGUAUAGAGAUUAUGCGAGGAGGAUUUCAAAUUUCUUUACAAAAGUUGAGUUUCAUCAUAUUCCUCGAGAUGAGAACCGGGUGGCAGAUGCUCUUGCAACAUUGACCUCAAUGAUUGUAGUGAAGUAUUGGAAUGAGGUUCCCAAUUUGUCUGUGAUGUGUCUUGAUAGGCCAGCUCAUGUGUUUGCUGUUGAAGAGGUCAAAGAAGAAAAGCCGUGGUAUUAUGACAUCAAGUGUUUCCUCCAAUGUCAGAUUUACCCGCCUGGGGCAUCUUUGAAAGAUAAGAAGACUUUGAGAAGAUUAGCCGGUAAUUUCUACUUGAAUGGUGAUAUACUGUACAAGAGAAACUUCGACAUGGUUUUGCUCAGAUGCGUAAAGCUUCGAAUGGACAUCGUUUCAUUUUAGUGGCAAUUGACUACUUCACAAAAUGGGUUGAAGCGGCAUCGUAUGCGAAUGUAACCAAGCAAGUUGUUGUAAGGUUUAUCAAGAAUCAGAUCAUAUGUCAUUAUGGUGUGCCAAGCAAGAUCAUUACUGACAAUGGAUCAAACUUGAAUAACAAUAUGGUGGAAGCUCUUUGCAAGGACUUCAAGAUUGCACACCAUAAUUAUUCUCCCUACAGACCCAAGAUGAAUGGGGUUGUCGAAGUUGCGAAUAAGUACAUCAAGAAGAUUAUUUAGAAGAUGGUUGUAACAUAUAAGGAUUGGCAUGAGAUGCUACCGUUUACUUUGCAUGGGUAUCGUAUAUUCGUCCGCACUUCAACAGGGGCAACCCCUUUUUCUCUUGUAUAUGGUAUGGAAGCAGUGCUCCCCAUAGAGGUUGAGAUUCCAUCAUUGCGUGUGCUCAUGGAAGCCAAGUUGACUGGGGCUGAAUGGUGUUAGACCAGGUUUGAUCAGUUGAAUUUAAUUGAAGAGAAGAGAUUGACUGCCAUGUGUCAUGGUCAGUUAUAUCAACAAAGGAUGAAGAAAGCCUUUGACAAGAAGGUCAGACCUCGCGUAUUCAGAGAAGGUGACCUUGUGCUCAAGAAGAUAUUGUCAUUCAAACCAGAUUCUAGGGGAAAAUAGACUCCUAAUUAUGAAGGCCCAUAUGUUGUCAAGAGAGCCUUUUCGGGCAAUGCAUUGAUUCUUAUAACUAUGGAUGGUGAAGAGUUCACUCGUCCUGUGAACGCAGAUGCAGUCAAGAAAUACUUCGCCUAAAAAGAGAAAAUAACAGUUCGCUAAGUUGAAAACCCAAAAGGGAGGAUUAGGCAAAAAAGAGCAUCUCGGUGGAUUGAAAACACGAAAGGGCGAUCCAGACAAAAAUUAGAGACCUAAAAACAGAAAGAAUUUCCCGAUAAGUUAAGUACCCCACCUUGGGGAAACUUAUGCAAAAAUUAGGGAUUAUGGCAAGUAACUGCAGUCUGCUGAUCGUCCAGUUUUGAAAAGACUUUGUUGAGCACUAGGGUUGACGUUGAUUCAUCAUCCCAGUAGCGGUCAAGAGCACAGUGGAUAUCAAGAGUUGGUAGAAGGAUUAAGGAUCAUUUGUAUUCAAUGUAACCCUUUUCCAUGUAAAUUACUAUUUUCAACUUUGUAAAAAUCUAUGGAGUCUUGACAUUUACAAACUACCAUCCCAUUAAAUAAAGUUGAGCUUUUGUCCAAUUGUUUCUACUCUUAUUUACUUCAGCCAAUAGUUUAAAUUUUAUUAUGAUCAUUUUGGAAAUUUAAUUUUUUUUAAUCAAACAUCCCAUUAAAUAAAGUUGAGCUUUUGUCCAAUUGUUUCUACUCUUAUUUACUUCAGCCAAUAGUUUAAAUUUUAUUAUGAUCAUUUUGGAAAUUUAAUUUUUUUUAAUCAAAAUCAUUUUUUUCUCUUAAAACAUAUAAAAACAAGAAUUUUUCAAAGCAAUUAAAAAGAAGUAUCAACAGCACUUCAAAGUGUAGCAAGUCCUUAAAAGGCGAAGCAUUAGAGGUUCCCUGAGCAGUUAACCCUUCGGGUAUCCCUAGUCGAUUUUGUUAAUCCGGUUCCCCUACGGAGUGUUUGUUCCCUAGCAGAGUUCCGAUUCUUCUCCCCAACUGAGUUGGUUGAUUCAGUACCUUGCGGCGUGUUAUUUCCCUGGCAGAGUUGCUGUAUCCCCCAAUGGAGUUUUUCCUCAGCAGGGUUGAUCUUCAGUAGAGUAAGAUGUUCUUCCCCAGUGUAUUGCGUUGGUUUUCUCACCAGUCGCCAUCCGACUUGCUCCCAGUCAAAGUUUCCUCCUAGUUUCUGAGCAGCUGUUUUGUGUUUAUCUUUUGUAUGGUUGUCUCCCAUUUGAUAUGGUGUUGACCUAAAAUUCCCUGUAGACUCGAUAACAUUUCCUCUCCUCAGCAGAUCUCCUCCUUCCUCGGCUAGAUUUGAGCCUUUGGGUUGUUGAUUUCUCUGUUCUCCAGCAGUUGUCUCCCUCUUUUUGCGGAUUGACCGAGGAUUGUACUGAUGAUUCAAAUUCUUUGCGACACCUUUGUAUCCUUUGUGAUCAUGUUGUCAGCAUAAUCAUCAUAUAUAUACAUACACAUAUACAUUCAUAUAAUUUCAUAAUUGCAUAUUUGCAUCAUCAUAUCCGGUUAACUUGUAGAUUUGAGAUUCUCAUUCUCUGUUAUGGCGGUACUUUAUCCCCAUACGAACCUCGGUGUUUGUCCUCCGUCAAUUGUAGAGUGUCAGCCCCUUAGGCAGAAAUACUUUAACCUUUCUCCUCUUUGUAGCGGUGUAUUCGUCGCUAUAUGAUCUAUUGAUUAAACCAUAAGCAAAGUAUACAAGUAAAUAGAGUCGCCACCGCACUUUUAUUUAUCCAAAGGACUGGCUAAAAACGAAACAAAAGCACCUAGAAGUUUUACACGUAAAAACCAAUGAAAAGAAUCAGAGAUCGAGGUAAGGGUAAAUUACGCAAUGGGAAGGUGUUAGCACCACCACGUCCUAGGUAUCCUAGGGAGCCUUUUCACACUUGUUGAAUGAAAAUGUUUAUUUGUUAUGACAUUUGUGAAACAUGAUUGGAUGAUGAGAAAAGAAUGUACAAUUUUUUUGUAUUUUUGUGUCGAACGGAUGAACCCGUUGCCUACGUACCUUCCAUCAAAGGUAAGGAUCAAAACGCCGUAGUUCGGCUAAAGAUUUCCAAAUAUCGUUGGAUUCAAUUUUUAAAACAAAACACUAAGGCUUUUCAUUCUCAACGGGAGAAACUCAACCAAUACCAACAAUCCACCAUGCAAAGAUAGCUCUUCAACAUAACCUAGGGAGGUAACCCUAUAAUAAGUAUGGAAGACUUACAAUCAACUUACUAAGGAUGCGGUGAGAUUCUACAUUUCAACCAACUAUGAGAAUUGAAACCUAUGGCUAAUGUAUGAAAACAUAUUAACAAUGGACAAAGCCACAAAACAAUUGAAUGGGUGAAGUUAAUUGAUUAUGAGUAUUCACAAAGUAUGAUUAAAGUAUGAUUAAGAUUGAUUCAAAAAGAAGUAUUAACAAAAUGAAGUUUGGAAAGUCAAGGACUUAAGGUCCAGGUUUCUAAUUUGAAAGAGGUGAGAAUGUUUGCACAACAUGUAUAUACAAGUUUGAAAAGUCAACAAGUGAGAAGGGAUUUGAAACAAAAGUGUAUGGAUGAUGGAGUGUAAAACUUCCUAGAGGUUCACCUCUUGAAAUCAUAUAGAAGAUGAUUCAAGUGUGUCCUUUAGAAUAAAGCAACAAAGCCAGUUAGCAAAAUAAAAGAUAAAGUGAUACUGGAUGCCACUCAAUGGACUUACACCAAUCUCACACAAAAGCGGAUACCAGAUACCAAUAAAUGGAUUUACACCAAUCUCCUAAAACAAAACAAUGAUAUCGGAUGCCAAUAAAUGGUCUUACUCCAAUCUCACUAACAAAAGCGGAUACCGGAUACCAAUAAAUGGAUUUACACCAAUCUCCUCAAAGAAAAACAAAAUAGGGAUGUCAGAUGCCAAUCUAUCUGGACUUAUUCCAACCUCCACAAGAUGAUCAUAGGAAUACAAAUGCCAACGACAUGGACUUAUAAUUGCAUCCUCACAUACAACAAACAAACAAUACACUGAGCAAAGAGGAUAUGAGUGACCAAUGAAUUGGUCUUACACUCUAUCCCUUCUAAAUCAUAGGAACAAAAGCCAAUCAACAUGGACUUACAAUUGUCCUCAAUGGGCAAACACACAUGUGUCACAAAGAUAUGCAAUGAUGAUCAUGCACUAAUGAACAAUCAAUGAUGACAAAUGCACAAAAGCAUGCAAGCAAACAUGUACAUAUGAAUCAAGCAAAUAAUCAAGCAAGGUCAUUUAUCACACACUAUAACCAAGCAAUCAGGCUCAAGCAAAGGGUUUGACUUUAAAGUCAACUGGAAUGGGGUAAACGGUGCUCUUAACCUUGACAUUGAGAGCCAAGGUGAAGCAGAUGAAAGGAUAUGAGGGGUGUGCCUCAUCACUCUUAUCCCUGGUCAGGGAGAGCAUUGAACAUCAGAAGAUGUGGGAGUUCAGAAAGGGGGAACUCUCUCCACAGGUUAGACUCGAUAGAUCUUGGGUUUUUUACUCACUAUGCAUCAGCACAAGUAGUGUGAGCAAGGUGAGUGACUCACAGAAUAGUAGGAGAUAGGUUACAUAUCUCUUUUGUCUACCAAUUGCCUUAUUAAUUCCUGAAGUGGACGAACCCCUGUUUUUAUUUGUGUGUUUCACAUUGCCUCUUAAGGAGGACUUCAGACAGGUGCCUGGCUAAAUAACAAGCCAGGUCUUCCAGACUACAUGAAGAAGAAGGUGCUACACCUCAAUGCAAAUGCUAUACAAGCAAAGCAAUGCAAGUUCUCAAAGAACUAUUAGCAACUAUGAUACCUGAAAUCAAUCAAAUAUAAUCAGUACCAAUCACAAAAUCAAAACAAACAAGGUAGUGAGCCAACAGAUAAUGUACAAACAAACAAUGCAAUGUGCAAAGCACAAUCAACUCAAGUGAACCAAACAUCCUACAAAAUAAACCAAGUUAGUCUAUAACAUCAAAUGAAACAACUCAAACAACUUGCAUUAAUCUCCUUAAAGCAUUUGCUUCUUCAACCUGAAAAUCACAUUCAAAUAUGAGAAACAAGACCACUAGGACAAGCCUAGGGUCAAAAGGAGGUGAAAAAUUCAAAACAGCAAGUGAAAAUUGAUCACAACCAAGAUUAAUCAAUUAAGAAGAAGGACCAAUCGGUCCCAUAUUAAAACUAUACACCAAGUCCAUUUUAUACACAUAACAUGUCAAACUAUGCAUUUUGGAACCACAUUGGAGCUAACAGAAUGAUCACACUCAAACCAAUAUCAAAACAGCUCAAUAAAUUCCACAAAAAUUCAAGCUUAAACAGGACAUAUUCAAUGAGCAUCAUAUCAAAUUUCAUGGCAUUUGGAUAAUGGGAACCAAGUCAAUGAAAAUCAACAAAUCAAGGCAUAUAGAAACAAGCUCAUGCAUGGUAUCAAAUUGAGCCUCAACUUCAAUCAAGUGUAAAACAGAAAUGACAUAAGAUAAAUGAGUCACUCCAAAGCCAUGAUACACUUCAACAUGUUAGGAAGCAAUGUAUAAAAUUUCAAGCUCAUGUGAUAAGGCACAAGGAUUUCACAACACAUGGAAGUUGAUCACUCAAGAAAAAGCCAAAAAUGACCAAACAGCAAAAUAAAAUCCCAAUCAAAUAGGAAAUUGAUCAACAAAUCCUACAAACAAUCAUGCUCAACCUAGACAUACAGAUGUAAUCACAUGCAAAAAUCCAGAGCAAAUGGCAUUCAAUAAGCAUGGAAACAAAAUUCAAGAAAUGGACAUAACCUAGUGUGACACACAUUGUCACACUCAAAAAGAUCACCUCAUAUCUCCUAAUCCAGAAGUGCAAAAUUAGCAAACUAUAUACCAAAAUCACCAGGAAAGAGCCUAGAUCAUGCCUAUAAAAUUUCAUGCAUUUUGGAUAAGGCAUCAUUAUUUUAUGAAUGAAAUGGAAAAACAUACACACAUAGCAUACAUGAUCAAAGGCCUUAGACAAAUUAAAAAAUCAGCCAAGCACAACUUUUGCUAUCAUACCUAAAAAAAACUAGAGAGAAUUUGGAGAUGAAUGCAAAAAUCCUCACUCAAUUUGGAUCAAAAAUGGAUUAAUUAUGAAUUUUUGAAGAUUGGUGAAAAAAUGAAAUAAAGAUUUAAUGAUUUAAAUGAAUUAAAAUGGCGCCAGUGGCAUUUUUGUAAAUCAGCGAAGCCAAGGGCAAAACGCCCCGUUUCAUUAACGGAUGUGGCGUCGUGUGAGUGGCCAGUGCACGCGGGAAACACAAUAUUUGAAACAAAGCCAGGCCAAAUGGAUCAAACAUGCGUUUUGGAAGGAAAAAUAGAGUGUUCAUCAUGUUCUUGAGCAGAAAUCAUCACAAUGACCAAAUCUUCAUGGAAAUGCACAAAUUAUAUAUGGUUGGAUUCGUCUUUCAACAAGGAUUACAAAUAUCAUCACGAUUUUAUCUAGAAUUUAGUAUACAAAAAGAUUCGAUCAAGAAAUGUUUUGACAUCCAAACUUUAGAUCCAGAUUUCUCCAUGAUUACUCAACGAAUUUGCACGAUUCAAGUUUCAUUCUACUCUAUGUUGAAGGAUCUACCUAAGCCACAUGUUGAUUUCAUGAAUUAGUAUUUGAAUUUUUACCUCUUGAUGAAGCAGCUGUUGAAUCCGUGCAUUUCAGGACCUUAUGAUGCAAAACAGGUAGCCUAUAGUGAUUAUGAAGAUGAAAGGAAGGUGCAACUCAGCUCAGAAAUGAUUGGAUGAUGAGGAAUUCUCAAACUGCCAUUGAUGAGCAAUGUUGCAACAGUGCCAAUUCUGCAUGAUUUCUUCCACCAAUUGCCACAAACAGUUCUUCUCUUGUACCUGCAAAUGAAGAUCAAAGCAACAGAUAGCACAAAAGAUGAAGGAUUCUUGAUGAAUGAGUGAAAAAAGUGUGAAGAAAAAUUGAGAGAAAUGAGAGAAUUUCUGAAUUUUGUGAUUUGAUCUGAAAAUGUGAUUGUUGAUUCUGAACUUUCUGUUAUGAUUAGGCUUAAAUACCACCUCUUAAUCCAAAGCCUUAAUCAUGUUUAGCAUAAUUGGAAGGAUUAAUGGAAUAAGCAUGUUAAUGCAUUUUGGCCAAAUUGCCCUUUCUCACUUAAGACCAAUGGAACAGUGAUUUUUUCUUUUGCAGCACAUCACAAAUCACAUUUGGAAAUGGGUUGAAUUGGUUUGGUGUGAAAAUCCCUUGUACUUUUGAAUUUGACUUUUUUCCCACCAAUUUUUAAAUGGUUCACUUGAAAAAUGACCUUUUUAUGUGAAGGUUUUUGAUGAAAGGUGAUGAUGGAUUUGGAUAGUACACAUCAAAUGUGGUUUGCUCAAAAAAGAAUCAACCAAAUUGGCCUUUCCAUUCAAAAGUUAUGGCACUUUGAAUUUCAACUUUUUCUGAAAAUGAUAUUGAUCAUACUUGCCAACCACACAUGGAAUGAGUGUUCUUACUUUUUGGAAAGGUGAGAGCAAGAUAUUCAACUUUCAUGUUGCGGCAAAAAUGUCAUUUGAAGCAUUCUUGUGGACAGUGUAAUUUUGAAGAGAAGAACUUUCCAUUUUUGGCAGGGUGAACAAUUACAAGUCAAUUUCUAUUUAUUGGAACUUUUUGCUUUGACUCAAAUCCUUCAACCGUUGAUCUUUGAAAUGUCAAAUGAGGCUUAUAUGGACAUGAAUGAGACCUUUUCCACCAUCUCACACCGUUCCAAUUCUGAUUAAAUGCACAGUGACCACAGUUGACUUUGCUAGGGUUUUGGUUGACUGAGCCAUGUUCUGAUGAAUUCCAAGCCUCUACCACAUGAGAUCUUGAUCCAAAAUGAUAUCACAACUUAUAUGAAUCCUUGAUGAAUGAUAAUGGUGCCCAAAUUCUUCAAGAAUGGUCACCAUCCAUUGCUCAAUGGCUUAUUUUAACUGGUUUGACCUAGUUGGUUUCAUCUGCAAGUAACAAGGUUAGAUGACAAUGUUUUUAUACUUUUGGUUAGUAAACAAAUGAAAAGCAAUGAUAUACAAAUGCAAUACAUGCUAGGUGAUCAAGAACCACACUCACAAGAUAGCCUACCCACUAGGAGGCAAGCAAAAGUGCACAAUGAUCCUUGAGGCAAUGAUAGGGUAUGAUAUGAUGCCAUGAGGGAUCUUAGGGACAAAAUUGGGGUCUUACACUCUUCCCCACUGAGUUGUUUCCUCGUGGAUGAUUAUUACUUCAGUUUCCUCCCCAGUUGUUUAUCUGGAUGGAAUCACUCCCCUUGAGUUAUAUCCUCAUUGGGUUGAGUCUUGAUUGACUGUUUCUUUCUAGAUCAUGCCUAGAUAGAUGCUUUGAGUCUCCUAAGAGCUUAUUCCUCCCCAGUUGUUUAUCUGGAUGGAAUCACUCCCCUUGAGUUAUAUCCUCAUUGGGUUGAGUCUUGAUUGACUGUUUCUUUCUAGAUCAUGCCUAGAUAGAUGCUUUGAGUCUCCUAAGAGCUUCUUACCCAGUAACUGGUAAUAUUCUUCUUAGUUGGCAGUUUGUUACUUCUUGCCCAAUACCCGGCAUAAGUACCCCUGUUUUCCCAGCAGUGGAGUUCUCAGUGGAUUCACUUGUUUCUGAUUCCCCAGGAAGUAUAUCCUUGAUAUGUUCAUCCUAACCGGUGACAAAUAUCUUUCUUUCCCCUUCCUGAGUCUAUCCUUGAUAUGUUCAUCCUAAACGAUGAGAGAUAUUCUCAUCCUUGGUAUUCUACCCAGUAAAAAGGUAGUUGUAAUCCCUAUUGUGUUCCCCAGAGAGUUAAUCCUUGAUAUGUUCAUCCUAACCGAUGACGGGUUUCCUUCUCUUUGUGGUAUUCUACCCAAUAACCGGUAGUUGUAAACCCUACUUUUUCCCGCAGAGUUUAUCCUUGAUAUGUUCACUUUAACCAGUGACAGAUACUCUUUUGUGGUAUUCUAUCCAGUAACUGAUAGAUGUAAUUCCUAUUUUCUCCCCUCAGAGAGUCUAUCCUUGAUAUGUUCAUCCUAACCGGUGACAGAUUUUCUCUUUGAUGGUCUUCUAUCCAGCAUUCAAUAGAUGUAAUUCCUACUUUUUAUUCAGUUGGUUUAUCCUUGAUAUGUUCAUCUUAACCGAUGACGGAUAUCCUCCUUGACAGUCCUAGGCAAGUUCAUCCUUGAUAUGUUCAUCUUAACCGAUGACGGAUCUUCUUCCCUGUUGAGUCUAUCCUUGAUAUGUUCAUCCUAACCGAUGACAGAUAUUCUCACCUUUGGUCUUCUGCCCAGUAACCGGUAGUUGUAAAUCCUAUUUUCUGCAGUUUUCCCCAGCAAGGCUAUUCUUACCCAGUAAACCGAUGACAGAUAUUCUCACCUUUGGUCUUCUGCCCAGUAACCGGUAGUUGUAAAUCCUAUUUUCUGCAGUUUUCCCCAGCAAGGCUAUUCUUACCCAGUAACCGGUAAUGAAUACUCCCUCCUGGCAAUUCUCAGCGAGUCAUCCUUGAUAUGUUCAUCCUAAUCGAUGACAUAUGUACUCUCUAUCAGAUCUUUAAUAUCUCCUCACCCAGCAACAGGUAGUAGAUAAUAGAUUUCUGCUCCUCCCGUGUUGAAGUUUAUUUCUUCCCCAGUCGAGUUGAGUGUGCAUUUCCUUAGUGAAAUCGCUUUUCCUGCAUGAUUCAAGUACUUCAAUUUUAUCCUAACUUACUCGUAUCCCCUACAGAUGUUGUUGUUCCCCGGCUGAGUCUUUUCCAUGUUUGUAUGGAAUUCCUCGAGUCCCCUAGCAGUGCUAAGUCGUAGCCUGGCCUACGCAUAACCCCUUUUACCCCAGAGUCUCUGUCUCCCUAGUGAGUUUUCCUUACAGAAUGCAUUAUACUCCUGUGGACUUUCGGUCUCUCUGAUUUCUUUUCCUUUGCGGCAAUAUUUCUCCACAAAGAAUUUACUUUUGCAUUCAUAUCAUAUGCAUCAUGAGGUCUCUUAGGGACCAAAAUUUGUUUCUAUGUUGUUAUUUAAGACCAUUCUACUGAGUCGAGCCGAAGAUUUUAACCUUCACCUCCUCAGUUAGAAUGUCCUUAAAUAGGGGCAGCUGUAAGAACCCAAUUUUAACCCUAAGAUCCCUCAUGCAAUUUCAUCAUAUGCAUUAGCAUUGGGAUCAUAACUUGGCAUCCUCCUUACCCCUCUUUCAUUAGGUUUAUUUUGGGAGAGAUCACCAAGCACUAUGUGAGUGUAUCAUACUUGUAUAUCAUCAUUUUACUAAUCAAAAUACCAAAAAUAUGUCUUUGCAUUUGCCUAACUCUUUUGUAGGUGGGGCAUGAUCUCCAUUGAUCUAUCAAGUUCAUAUCUAGGGUUUGAAAACUCUUUUGUAGGUGGGGCAUGAUCUCCAUUGAUCUAUCAAGUUCAUAUCUAGGGUUUGAGACCCUCAUGACAAAGAGCACAACCAUGAAUUGAUCCAAGAAUGGUUAUAAGCAUCAUAUAUGAGUCCCCAUGAUUUCUACAUGUCAUAUUGAUCAAGUUUUCUUCAAAAGUUUGAGGGUGAUUUGCCUUGGAAACCCUAGUUUGACUGGGUAUCUUAAGUGACUUCUUCAACAAGCUAUCUCACCAAUUGAUCAAAUUUAUCAAGGGGCACUUCAAAAUUAAUCAUCUUAUGCAUAUAUGAUAUACCAUGAGCCUAAAAAAUCAAGAGAAUUGAAGGUUAGCAAGUUGGUUGAUGGUGGUUGGCCAGAUGAAUUCAUCUGAUCAAAACUGGGUCUCCCUAGACCCUAUCUUCUACAAUUUUCACCAUAUGAAAAUGAUUCCAAGAGAAAAGUUACUCUUAAUGACAUUAUAAACAACUUUCAUGUUGAGACCUAGAGCUAAUUUUUCUUGGAAAAUCAUUUUCUAUGUUGAAACAUUAUAGGUCAUUUUGUCUAAACCCUAAUUUAAAAGUCAACUUCCCAAGGCCAUAACUUGCUAGAUUUUUAUGAGAUGAAAGGUUUACAAGUUGCACAAUCAAAUUCAAGAUGUCUAAUUCAACUUUUAUGUUUGGAAUGAGAGAAAACUCAACUUUUAUGAGCAUGUGAUAUGAGGAUACAUUAUAGGUCAUUUUUUACCUAUACCAUUGAACAAGUGAUUUUUCCAAACUUCAAAAAUGCAUGACUCUAUCAUUAUAAAUCUAAAUGACAUGAAAUUUAUUACCAUUUUUAAGGUCUCUGAAAUAUCUACAACUUUGAUGAAGACACUUUUCUCAUUUGAAGCUCACAUAAAAAGUUAAGCAAGAUGGAAUAUUGAGGUAUAUGGCUUGACACUUAGAACAAUUUUCAACAUGUUGAAAUUUCCAAACUUCCACCUCAAAAUUCUCCAUGUUCCAAGCUCCAAAUAAAAAAGUGUUCAACAUCAAACUUGUUCCCCUUGAUCCAGGAUUUCCAAAGAACCCAAGUUCAUGCAUUUUGGAUGAAGAUUGCUAGGUCUGCGCAUGGCUUUAACAGGGAUGCAUCAUUGGAAAGAAUCAAAUGUACAAACUUCAGUUCACAAUGCCUUGCCAUUCAAGCUUCAUUCAGACUUCAAUUGGAAUCAAUUUUGACCUUAAUGCAUUGCAUCAUGGGCCUGUACAUGCUCAUGCACUCGUGCCAUCCACAUUGCCAAUUUUGGACAGAUUUUGAAGUGUGCAAAUAUCAUUGCCUUUGGCUAUAAAUAGAAGGCUUCUGAGCUCAUUUGAACAACACUUUGCGCGCCAGCUUUGCCCCCCAUUGAAACCCUCUCAUUCUAAAGGAAAACCUGAGAAAUUUCAAUUUGAAAUUUGAGUUGAGCUCAACUGUUGGAGAUUCAGAACUCCAAGGAUCCAAAGCCUGUGUAACCUCUCUAUUCCUCUGCUAGCUUCUCAAGUGUGAUCGUUCGUGUUUGGACAAGCAACAUCAGAACGCACAACAUUGAGGUAAUUUUCAAAAACUUCAUCUCUCGAUUCUCCAACCAAUUCUAUCAAUCUCUUGGAUGUUGGUUGUCUGAAUGCCUACCAAUGUAGGCAAGAAGAUUGAGUUACUUAGAGGUCAAAUCGAAGCAACUCAGUUGACACACCUCAAAAUUUAACUCCUCAUAUCUUUCUAUAUAUGUGGAGUUAGUUAAAAUUGAGGUCAGAUUCGUGCUCUAUGCCAUUUUUUCUUUCAGAUCAUGUCCUCCUUUUUUAUUUUGGUGAUGGUUGAAGGUGGACCAGUCCGGUGAGGUCCACCGGAGAAGAAGACCGUUGCUACAACUCCAGCGAUGUGUUGGCAUCUCUCCAGACCACAGGAUCCUUUUCAAAUGUUUUAAUCUCAUGCCUUGGUUUUGCAUACCAUCCCUGCAGCGCAUUGACUAGUGUUCAUUGUGGAACGCGCGCUGAGGACCACUUGAUUUGCCACCUCAAUUAAUGAGGGAGAUCAAGUGGUCCACGUUUUUUGCUAUUUUUUUAUUUUCAUUUUAAUCCUUUUAUUUUCAUUAAUUCAUAUUAAUUUUAAUAUUGAUCCAAAAAAUAUGAGAGUUAAUCAAGUGGUCCACGUUUUUUGCUAUUUUUUUAUUUUCAUUUUAAUCCUUUUAUUUUCAUUAAUUCAUAUUAAUUUUAAUAUUGAUCCAAAAAAUAUGAGAGUUUCACCAAAAAAUUUCAAAUAAUU